rnacentral:rRNA from 1 species
UACGGAGGGUGCAAGCGUUAUCCGGAUUCACUGGGUUUAAAGGGUGCGUAGGAGGGCAGGUAAGUCAGUGGUGAAAUCUCCGUGCUUAACACGGAAACUGCCAUUGAUACUAUAGGUCUUGAAUUUUCUGGAGGUUAGCGGAAUAUGUCAUGUAGCGGUGAAAUGCUUAGAUAUGACAUAGAACACCAAUUGCGAAGGCAGCUAGCUACAGGGAUAUUGACACUGAGGCACGAAAGCGUGGGGAUCAAACAGG